GUGGGGAAUAUUGGACAAUGGGCGAAAGCCUGAUCCAGCCAUGCCGCGUGAGUGAUGAAGGCCCUAGGGUUGUAAAGCUCUUUCAGUGGGGAAGAUAAUGACGGUACCCACAGAAGAAGCCCCGGCUAACUUCGUGCCAGCAACCGCGGUAAUACGAAGGGGGCUAGCGUUGUUCGGAUUUACUGGGCGUAAAGCGCACGUAGGCGGAUUGUUAAGUCGAGGGUGAAAUCCCAGGGCUCAACCCUGGAACUGCCUUCGAUACUGGCAAUCUUGAGUCCGGAAGAGGUGAGUGGAACUCCUAGUGUAGAGGUGGAAUUCGUAGAUAUUAGGAAGAACACCAGUGGCGAAGGCGGCUUACUGGUCCGGAACUGACGCUGAGGUGCGAAAGCGUGGGGAGCAAACAGGAUUAGAAACCCUUGUAGUCC
rnacentral:rRNA from 1 species